CCUCAGGCCCGCCUGCUUCAGAAGAAUUUUGAUUCCGUGGCUCUGUCCAGCUAUGGGGAAAGGCUAGGCGAAGCCUUCCAAUGCCGCCAGAGAAGUUUUUGGGUGCUAGGCCCUGGGCAGCUGCCCUUUUUUUUUUGUUUGGCUGCCGCCAGAGUGUUGUGCUCCUUACUUUGUACUGAAAUCUGUUCAUUUUUUUUUGAAGUUUAGCAUGUGUACAGUUUCCCAACAAUUUUUCUGAAGUGUGCAAUUUACUUAAUUUUUGUGCCAUGCGCAGGACGCUCGAUCGAUUCCGUUACUCAGCAUGAUCCGUUUGAAGGCUAUCUACGGAGAAGGAACUCGAUUUCAGAGUAUGAUUGUUUAUUACCGGUUCCCAUGCAUGCACAAAGUUUUGAGUGCACAUAGUUCUGCCGAAGCACGUAAUG
rnacentral:lncRNA from 1 species